GACGAACGCUGGCCGCGAGCUUAACCCAUUCAAGUCGAACGGAGUGGCGAACGGGUGAGUACUACGCGGGUAACCUGCCCUCCUUUUUGGGAUAAGCCUUGGGAACGGGGUCUAAUACCGAAUCAAGGGGGAUGGGCUCGCGGCCUAUCAGCUUGUGGGGGGGGUGAUGGCCUGCCAAGGAGGUGACGGGUAGCCGGCCUGAGAGGGUGACCGUGCCAAUGGGGACGGGGGUACUGCCCUGACGCCUACGGGAGGAGGCAGGGGGGGAGAGGGCACAAUGGGGCUAAGGCUCAUGCAGGGACGUCGCGUGGGGGAUGAAGGUGUUGGGGUUGGAAACCUGGUUCGCUAUCGAACGGGUAGGUGGAGAAGAAGAGCCGGCUAACUACGUGCCAGCAGCCGCGGUAAUAC
rnacentral:rRNA from 1 species